rnacentral:rRNA from 1 species
GACGAACGCUGGCGGCGUGCUUAACACAUGCAAGUCGAACGGGUCUGCCCUGUUUUUUGCGGGGUGGGUCCGUGGCGAACGGGUGAGUAACACGUGAGUAACCUGCCCCUCACUUCUGGAUAACCGCUUGAAAGGGUGGCUAAUACGGGGUGUUCUGGCUGUGCCGCAUGGUGUGGCUGGGAAAGAUUCACUUUUGUGGUGUUUUGGUGGGGGAUGGGCUCGCGGCCUAUCAGCUUGUUGGUGGGGUGAUGGCCUGCCAAGGCUUUGACGGGUAGCCGGCCUGAGAGGGUGGGCGGUCACACUGGGACUGAGAUACGGCCCAGACUCCUGCGGGAGGCAGCAGUGGGGGGUAUUGCACAAUGGGCGGAAGCCUGAUGCAGCGACGUCGCGUGAGGGAUGGAGGCCUUCAGGUUGUGAACCUCUUUCGCCGGUGAAGAAGGUCCUGCUCUUUGUGGUGGGGUUGACGGUAGCCGGGUUAUGAAGCGCCGGCUAACUACGUG